rnacentral:rRNA from 1 species
GUGUGUCCACAUAUAUCUCUCGAUGCUCCGAGUAUGGUUCCAUGUCUGGCGAAAGGGAAUGGGGACUUUGUUCCUUGACCGGUCCCGGCAACCUCGAUAGGCUUGUGCCAAUCAAUGGUCCAUGCAAAUGGAACCAGGCCACAGCCGCC